CCCCCCAAAGGCCAAAGUCACCAAAUUCUAACCCUUAGUCUGCCCUCCGCCUUCAUUCUGCUUCUCUGCGUCUCUGCGUCUCGGCCCUCUCCUACGCAACCGACGACCGCCGGCAAUCAUCGACGAGACGACGACCGGCCGACUCUCCCCUCCGCGGCUCCGCCUUCGGCCUUCACCCACCGCCUCCCCUUUGCCUUCACUCUGCUUCUCUGCUUCUCCUACGCAACCGACGACCGGCCGACUCUCCCCUCCGUGAUUCCCCCUCCAGCCUUCACCCACCACCUGCGGCCGAACCAGCACCGCCUCCCCUCCGCCUUCGCCCACCGCCUGCGAACCAGCAGCGCGACCCUCGCCGGUAAGAACCUGCCUUCCUCCCUUCUUAUUUUCUAUUAUUUUAUAUUGUAUUUGUAAUUAUGUAAUUAUUGGUGUAAUGUGUAUAUGUAAUUAUGUAUAUAUAAGAACCAGCAGUAUUAUGUGUUAGGGUUUAGGGUGUAAUGGACUAAUGGUUAAUGUGUUAAUGUGUAUGUGUGGACUGUGGAAGUGUGGAACUGUGGAUUGUGUAUAGCUAUGUGAAUAUAAUGAACUGUGGAUUGUGUGUAGCUAUGUGAAUAUAAUGAACUGUGGAUUGUGUGUAGAACACUGUUUUAGUUCAGAAUGAUAAAUGGACAAGAAACUUCAAGAACAUUGUUUUAGUUCAGGAACAAAAACUACCAGAUUCUGCCAAGAAGUUCACGGAAUUUUCUGUGUUUAUUGGAGCAACUUUUCUACUCAAACUUUUUAUGGAUUUCAAGUAUUAUAAGUUGAGGUCCUACACAAAAAAAUUCAAGUUCAAAAGAGUAUUGGAAGCAUUUGUUUUCGAAUUUCUUUCCUGACUGCGCCAGGCAGAAUUUCUGGACAGUAUUAACCAGAAACUGACUGAACUUUAAGGAUUUUUUGGGAAAGAUUGGUAAGGAAUUUUUGGCCCAAAUUUUCCAGAUAUCAAGUUCAACAAGAGUAGGACUUCCAGAAAAGAAUUCAAUGAAAAAUAAGGUUUGGAAGUCUUGUUCACGAAUUUUUGUUCUUGAUUGCGCCAGGCAGAAAUAUUCUGGACAGUCACUGCCAAAGACUAAUUUUUUUUUUUCUUAUCUUUUUCUUUGAAUAACAAGAAUAAUUAAACAAGGAAUACAAGGAAACAAUCAAAGACACAAAAAAGUUUUUUUUUGUUGAAGUUUUUGUUAUGGAUAUGCAAGAAAUAAGAUAGCAAAUAACUGAACAUAGCACUUAGAAGCAGUUAUUGGUUUCUCUACUUGAUUUUGAGGCAGUAGGCAGCAGCUAUGUGAGGCAGUAGGCAGUUGCUAUUGAAAGAGAAAUCAUAUCAAGAAAUUUUUCUUCCGGUAUCCAACUCAUGAAAAUCUUUCUUGGAAUCAAGGAUGACUGCUGUUGUUGCCUUUUAAUUGAUAUUGAAGUAGAUCUAUGAACUUAUUUUGAGUGUUGUUAUUGACUUGUAGUUGAUAUUGAAUUGGACUAGUGAACUUACUUAUUUUGAGUGCUUUAAGUGUAGUUGAUAUUGAAGUGAAGUUUUGAACUUAUUUUGGACUUUUGAAUGUUUAAAAAUUUGUAUUAUUUAUUUAUGGAUAAAACAGUAAGUGUA